rnacentral:ncRNA from 1 species
GAGGACCAAUUGGAGGGCAAGUCUGGUGCCAGCAGCCGCGGUAAUUCCAGCUCCAAAAGCGUAUAUUAAAGUUGCUGCAGUUAAAAAGCUCGUAGUUGGAUCUGGGUCGUGCGGUCGCAUGCCGCUGCUUGUUCACGGUUUUGGUUACGAUCAGGACGUGUUCAGCUCGGUGUAGUGGCUGUGCAGCCUUUCAGCCGUGUCUGUGUUAAACGGGUGCUGGUGGGUUGACGAGUUCGUCUUGUUGACCUGUCGGCAUGCUUCCGGAUGCCUUUAAACGGGUGUCGGGAGCGGACGGCAUCUUUACUUUGAACAAAUUUGAGUGCUCAAAGCAGGCCUGUGCGCCUGAAAAUUCUUGCAUGGAAUAAUGAAAUAGGACUUCGGUUCUAUUUUGUUGGUUUUCGGAUCCGAAGUAAUGGUUAAGAGGGACAGACGGGGGCAUUUGUAUGGCGGUGUUAGAGGUGAAAUUCUGGGAUCGCCGCCAGACAAACUACAGCGAAAGCAUUUGCCAAGAAUGUUUUC